rnacentral:rRNA from 1 species
GGGCAAUAGGGGCUCUACCAUGCAGUCGCACGAGAACGCCUCAGCUUGCUGAGGCAAGUAAAGUGGCGCACGGGUGAGUAACGCGUGGGUAAUCUACCUCCGAAUUGGGGAUAACAUUGCGAAAGCGGUGCUAAUACCGAAUAAUAUCUCUGGAACCCCGGUCCUGGUGAUCAAAGGUGGCCUCUACAUGUAAGCUACCGCUUGGAGAUGAGCCCGCGUACCAUUAGCUAGUUGGUAGGGUAACGGCCUACCAAGGCUGCGAUGGUUAGCUGGUCUGAGAGGAUGAUCAGCCACACUGGAACUGACACACGGUCCAGACUCCUACGGGAGGCAGCAGUGAGGAAUUUUGCGCAAUGGGGGAAACCCUGACGCAGCAACGCCGCGUGAGUGAUGAAGGCCUUCGGGUCGUAAAGCUCUGUCAAGUGGGAAGAACCUGCUCUGUGAUAACACCAUGGGGCACCGACGGUACCACUGAAGGAAGCACCGGCUAACUCCGUGCCAGCAGCCGCGGUAAUACGGGGGGUGCUAGCGUUAUUCGGAAUCAUUGGGCGUAAAGGGCGCGUAGGCGGUCUUUUAAGUCAGAUGUGAAAGCCCUCGGCUUAACCGAGGAAGUGCAUUUGAUACUAAGAGACUUGAGUAUGGGAGAGGGAAGCGGAAUUCCUGGUGUAGCGGUGAAAUGCGUAGAUAUCAGGAGGAACACCGGUGGCGAAGGCGGCUUCCUGGACCAAUACUGACGCUGAGGCGCGAAGGCGUGGGGAGCAAACAGGAUUAGAUACCCUGGUAGUCCACGCAGUAAACGGUGAACACUAUGUGUAGCGGGUAUUGACCCCUGCUGUGCCGAAGCUAACGCAUUAAGUGUUCCGCCUGGGAAGUACGGCCGCAAGGUUAAAACUCAAGGAAUUGACGG